UAUAUAUAUAUAUAUAUAUAAAAGCUUGAUAUAAGAGGCAGACUAUCUGUUUGGAGCAAUGUUUGAUCUAGAGUCCCUGUAACUGAAUCGCCACACUUGAAAAUGAUGAUGUUAUUCCACGUCUAAGCAAUGAGGCAGAUGAGUGCUGGUGAGGGUGCAGUAAGCUACGAGAAUUGCCUAAGCAAUAAAUUAAGACUACCCAUAUUGAGAUAAAACUGAAAGCUUUAAUACUAAACAAAGUUACAAAAAUUAAUAACAUAAGAGUAUCCUUUUUACUAUAAUCAAUUUGUUCUCUUUUCAUUGUCUUGGCUUAACCUAUACAAAUGAUUCAAUAUUAUCCACACAUAUCGAGUCACAUGGCAGUAGUGUGUGUGUGUGUGUGUGUGUGUGUGUGUGUGUGUGUGUGUGUGUGUGUGUGUGUGUGUGUGUGUGUGUGUGUGUGUGUGUGUGUGUGUGUGUGUGUGUGUGUGUGU